rnacentral:rRNA from 1 species
UGGCGACCAUAGCGCUGUGGAACCACCCGAUCCCAUCCCGAACUCGGAAGUGAAACGCAGCUGCGCCAAUGGUAGUGUGGCCUAAGCCAUGCAAGAGUAGGUCAUCGC